rnacentral:rRNA from 1 species
ACUGGGCGUAAAGCGCACGCAGGCGGUUUGUUAAGCUAGAUGUGAAAGCCCCGGGCUCAACCUGGGAUGGUCAUUUAGAACUGGCAGACUAGAGUCUUGGAGAGGGGAGUGGAAUUCCAGGUGUAGCGGUGAAAUGCGUAGAUAUCUGGAGGAACAUCAGUGGCGAAGGCGACUCCCUGGCCAAAGACUGACGCUCAUGUGCGAAAGUGUGGGUAGCGAACAGGAUUAGAUACCCUGGUAGUCCACACCGUAAACGCUGUCUACUAGCUGUUUGUGAUUUUAAAUCGUGAGUAGCGAAGCUAACGCGCUAAGUAGACCGCCUGGGGAGUACGGCCGCAAGGUUAAAACUCAAAUGAAUUGACGGGGGCCCGCACAAGCGGUGGAGCAUGUGGUUUAAUUCGAUGCAACGCGAAGAACCUUACCUACACUUGACAUGCAGAGAACUUUCCAGAGAUGGAUUGGUGCCUUCGGGAACUCUGACACAGGUGCUGCAUGGCUGUCGUCAGCUCGUGUCGUGAGAUGUUGGGUUAAGUCCCGCAACGAGCGCAACCCUUGUCCUUAGUUGCCAGCAUUAAGUUGGGCACUCU